rnacentral:misc_RNA from 1 species
GAUGAAGAACGUAGCGAAAUGCGAUAAGUGAUGUGAAUUGCAGAAUUCAGUGAAUCAUCGAGUCUUUGAACGCACAUUGCGCCCCCUGGUAUUCCGGGGGGCAUGCCUGUCCGAGCGUCAUUGCUGCCCUCAAGCACGGCUUGUGUGUUGGGCUCCGCCCCCCUCCCGGGGGGCGGGCCCGAAAGGCAGCGGCGGCACCGCGUCCGGUCCUCGAGCGUAUGGGGCUUUGUCACCCGCUCUGUAGGCCCGGCCGGCGCCCGCCGGCGACCCCAAUCAAUCUUUCCAGGUUGACCUCGGAUCAGGUAGGGAUACCCGCUGAACUUAAGCAUAUCAAUAAGCGGAGGA